rnacentral:rRNA from 1 species
GAUGAACGCUGGCGGCGUGCUUAAUACAUGCAAGUCGAACGGAGACAGUAGCAAUAUUGUCUUAGUGGCGAACGGGUGAGUAACGCGUUGGUGACCUGCCCCGAAGAGGGGGAUAACAGUCCGAAAGGAUUGCUAAUACCCCAUGUGGUCGUUUGGAUUAGAUGCCUUAUGACUAAACGGAUUUAUUCGCUUCGGGAGGGGCCUGCGUCCCAUCAGCUAGUUGGUAAGGUAAUGGCUUACCAAGGCGAUGACGGGUAGGGGACCUGAGAGGGUGGCCCCCCACAAUGGAACUGAAACACGGUCCAUACACCUACGGGUGGCAGCAGUAGGGAAUAUUGGUAAUCUGGGAAACCGGGAACCAGCAACGCCGCGUGCGCGAUGAAGGCCUUCGGGUUGUAAAGCGCUUUUGAGGGGAUGAGGAAGGACGGUACCCUCAGAAUAAGCCUCGGCUAACUACGUG